UACAGAGGCCUCGAGCGUUAGGCGGAAUCACUGGGCUUAAAGCGUGUGUAGGCGGACCCCUAAGUACCUUGUGAAAUCCCACGGCUCACCCGUGGAACGGCUGGGUAUACUGGGGGGUCUUGAGCCACCUAGGGGCGAGUGGAACAAAUGGUGGAGCGGUGAAAUGCGUAGAUAUCAUUUGGAACGCCAAUGGUGAAAACAACUCGCUGGGGGUGUGCUGACGCUGAGACACGAAAGCCAGGGGAGCGAACGGG
rnacentral:rRNA from 1 species